AGCUUUGCACAGUGGCAGUAUCGUAGCUAAUGAAGUUUAGCCAAGGCGCGAUUAUUGCUUAUUGAAAACUUUUCCCAAUACCCCACUUUGAAAUAUAGUCAUCAACGGUAAUUUUUGACAGUCUCUGCAGAGA